rnacentral:rRNA from 1 species
CCUACGGGUGGCAGCAGUAGGGAAUAUUGCUCAAUGGGGGAAACCCUGAUGUAGCAACGCCGCGUGGGUGAUGAAGUAUUUCGGUACGUAAAGCCCUUUCAGUAGGGAAGAUAAUGACGGUACCUGACGAAUAAGCACCGGCUAACUACGUGCCAGCAGCCGCGGUAAUACGUAGGGGGCAAGCGUUAUCCGGAUUUACUGGGCGUAAAGAGAGCGUAGACGGGAUAGCAAGUCAGGUGUGAAAUGCCGGGGCUCAACCCCGGAACUGCUUUUGAAACUGUGAUGCUCGAGUGCAGGAGAGGUAAGUGGAAUUCUUGGUGUAGCGGUGAAAUGCGUAGAGAUCAGGAGGAAUACUAGUGGCGAAGGCGGCUUACUGGAACGUAACUGACGCUGAGGCGCGAAAGCGUGGGGAGCAAACAGGAUUAGAUACCCUAGUAGUC